AGAAACUCUCUUACUAUAGAUAAUUAUUAGUUUUAUUUUUUUAGAGAAUAUCGAACGGUUCGGAUCGCUUUAAUAAAGUCUUCCGAAUAGAAGUUGUCCGUGAUUACAUAGUAUUCUUAUUCAUAAAAACUUGGGAUUACAGUCAAAAUGAUUUAAACUUCAGUUUUAAGAGUUACGUGAUCAUUAUGUUUGACUAUGGUGACUGAGGAUUAUAUUUGGAUGGUGCUAGGCAUAUUAUGUUUUGUCGAUGUUUUAUCAGCAACUGGAUGUAAGUGGAGUAAUGAAGGUUGCUUUUCAAAUCAAGAAUGUUGCAGUAACGGUUGUUCAUUGAGACAUCCUGGAACCGAGCCUCGUUGUGAGAAAAGUUCUAUCCUUGGUCCAUGUUUAUACAAUUACCACUGUGAACGCAAUUUUAUUUGUGGACCUAAAAAUAAAUGCUGUUCAGAUUACUGGAAUGACUGUCGAGACGAAACAGAAUGUUGUGACCCAGCACACGUCUGUCUAUAUGCACGUGGAUUUGUAUACAAAAAAUGUCUAUUUGGUCCUGUCCAACUUAAAAGUAUGGCACCUGUAACAAACAAACUGUCCGUCAUAUGUCUAUUAAGUAUUUUAUUUUUAUACAUUCAUUUUUAAACAAUUUACAAAUCAAAUAUGUAAUUUUUGAAUAUUUUAAAUAAACAUGUAAGGAGCA